rnacentral:rRNA from 1 species
GAUGAACGCUAGCUACAGGCUUAACACAUGCAAGUCGAGGGGCAGCAUGGUCUUAGCUUGCUAAGGCCGAUGGCGACCGGCGCACGGGUGAGUAACACGUAUCCAACCUGCCGUCUACUCUUGGACAGCCUUCUGAAAGGAAGAUUAAUACAAGAUGGCAUCAUGAGUCCGCAUGUUCACAUGAUUAAAGGUAUUCCGGUAGACGAUGGGGAUGCGUUCCAUUAGAUAGUAGGCGGGGUAACGGCCCACCUAGUCUUCGAUGGAUAGGGGUUCUGAGAGGAAGGUCCCCCACAUUGGAACUGAGACACGGUCCAAACUCCUACGGGAGGCAGCAGUGAGGAAUAUUGGUCAAUGGGCGAGAGCCUGAACCAGCCAAGUAGCGUGAAGGAUGACUGCCCUAUGGGUUGUAAACUUCUUUUAUAAAGGAAUAAAGUCGGGUAUGGAUACCCGUUUGCAUGUACUUUAUGAAUAAGGAUCGGCUAACUCCGUGCCAGCAGCCGCGGUAAUACGGAGGAUCCGAGCGUUAUCCGGAUUUAUUGGGUUUAAAGGGAGCGUAGAUGGAUGUUUAAGUCAGUUGUGAAAGUUUGCGGCUCAACCGUAAAAUUGCAGUUGAUACUGGAUAUCUUGAGUGCAGUUGAGGCAGGCGGAAUUCGUGGUGUAGCGGUGAAAUGCUUAGAUAUCACGAAGAACUCCGAUUGCGAAGGCAGCCUGCUAAGCUGCAACUGACAUUGAGGCUCGAAAGUGUGGGUAUCAAACAGGAUUAGAUACCCCGGUAGUCCACACGGUAAACGAUGAAUACUCGCUGUUUGCGAUAUACUGCAAGCGGCCAAGCGAAAGCGUUAAGUAUUCCACCUGGGGAGUACGCCGGCAACGGUGAAACUCAAAGGAAUUGACGGGGGCCCGCACAAGCGGAGGAACAUGUGGUUUAAUUCGAUGAUACGCGAGGAACCUUACCCGGGCUUAAAUUGCAGAUGAAUUACGGUGAAAGCCGUAAGCCGCAAGGCAUCUGUGAAGGUGCUGCAUGGUUGUCGUCAGCUCGUGCCGUGAGGUGUCGGCUUAAGUGCCAUAACGAGCGCAACCCUUGUUGUCAGUUACUAACAGGUUCCGCUGAGGACUCUGACAAGACUGCCAUCGUAAGAUGUGAGGAAGGUGGGGAUGACGUCAAAUCAGCACGGCCCUUACGUCCGGGGCUACACACGUGUUACAAUGGGGGGUACAGAGGGCCGCUACCACGCGAGUGGAUGCCAAUCCCCAAAACCUCUCUCAGUUCGGACUGGAGUCUGCAACCCGACUCCACGAAGCUGGAUUCGCUAGUAAUCGCGCAUCAGCCACGGCGCGGUGAAUACGUUCCCGGGCCU